UACCAGCACCCCGAGUGGUCGGGACGAUUAUUGGGCCUAAAGCAUCCGUAGCCGGUCAUGCAAGUCUUCCGUUAAAUCCACCUGCUUAACAGAUGGGCUGCGGAGGAUACUAUAGAGCUAGGAGGCGGGAGAGGCAAGUGGUACUUAGUGGGUAGGGGUAAAAUCCGUUGAUCCAUUGAAGACCACCAGUGGCGAAGGCGGCUUGCCAGAACGCACUCGACGGUGAGGGAUGAAAGCUGGGGGAGCAAACCGG
rnacentral:rRNA from 1 species